UACAGAGGGUGCAAGCGUUAAUCGGAAUUACUGGGCGUAAAGCGUGCGUAGUCGGCUUUUUAAGUCGGGUGUGAAAUCCCCGGGCUCAACCUGGGAAUUGCAUUCGAUACUGGAUCGCUAGAGUUCGGCAGAGGGAAGCGGAAUUUCGGGUGUAGCGGUGAAAUGCGUAGAUAUCUGGAGGAACACCGGUGGCGAAGGCGGCAUCCUGGACCGGUAUUGACGCUGAGGCGCGAAAGCCAGGGGAGCAAACGGG
rnacentral:rRNA from 1 species